rnacentral:rRNA from 1 species
AAACCAACCGGGAUUGCCUUAGUAACGGCGAGUGAAGCGGCAAAAGCUCAAAUUUGAAAUCUGGUACCUUCGGUGCCCGAGUUGUAAUUUGGAGAGGGCAACUUUGGGGCCGUUCCUUGUCUAUGUUCCUUGGAACAGGACGUCAUAGAGGGUGAGAAUCCCGUGUGGCGAGGAGUGCGGUUCUUUGUAAAGUGCCUUCGAAGAGUCGAGUUGUUUGGGAAUGCAGCUCUAAGUGGGUGGUAAAUUCCAUCUAAAGCUAAAUAUUGGCGAGAGACCGAUAGCGAACAAGUACAGUGAUGGAAAGAUGAAAAGAACUUUGAAAAGAGAGUGAAAAAGUACGUGAAAUUGUUGAAAGGGAAGGGCAUUUGAUCAGACAUGGUGUUUUGUGCCCUCUGCUCCUUGUGGGUAGGGGAAUCUCGCAUUUCACUGGGCCAGCAUCAGUUUUGGUGGCAGGAUAAAUCCAUAGGAAUGUAGCUUGCCUCGGUAAGUAUUAUAGCCUGUGGGAAUACUGCCAGCUGGGACUGAGGACUGCGACGUAAGUCAAGGAUGCUGGCAUAAUGGUUAUAUGCCGCCCGUCUGAAACCGACGGACCAUCCGUGUGAUGAAGUGGAACAAGGUUGGCUUAACUUCCUUCUCUCUGCGAAACUAGGGUGCCCCUGUUAAAUGUAGUCACCAAUUCGCUGAAGGCUGUGGGGA